AGUGAACGCUGGCGGUAGGCCUAACACAUGCAAGUCGAACGGCAGCACAGUAAGAGCUUGCUCUUACGGGUGGCGAGUGGCGGACGGGUGAGGAAUACAUCGGAAUCUACUUUUUCGUGGGGGAUAACGUAGGGAAACUUACGCUAAUACCGCAUACGACCUACGGGUGAAAGCAGGGGAUCUUCGGACCUUGCGCGAUUGAAUGAGCCGAUGUCGGAUUAGCUAGUUGGCGGGGUAAAGGCCCACCAAGGCGACGAUCCGUAGCUGGUCUGAGUGGAUGGUCAGCCACACUGGAACUUAGACACGGUCCAGACUCCUACGGGAGGCAGCAGUGGGGAAUAUUGGACAAUGGGCGCAAGCCUGAUCCAGCCAUACCGCGUGGGUGAAGAAGGCCUUCGGGUUGUAAAGCCCUUUUGUUGGGAAAGAAAAGCAGCAGGUUAAUACCCCGCUGUUCUGACGGUACCCAAAGAAUAAGCACCGGCUAACUUCGUG
rnacentral:rRNA from 1 species